AUACAUUUCUUUUAAAAUUGCAAGUUCUUUUUCUAGUUCUAUUAUUUUAGUAUUUUUUACUUCUUCUAAUUGUUGUACUUCCUUUUUUGCUUGUUGUUUUAUUUUUUCAAUUUCCGUUUUUCUAUCUAUUUCUUCAUUUUCUUUUGUUAUUCUUAUCAUAGCAGUUAAACUAUCUUCUAGUUUUACCGUUUCUUUUUCUAACAUUAAACUUAGAUUGUCACCUAUUUUCUUAUAUCUUCUUCCUAGAUUAGAAAAUAUUAUUUUUAUUUUUAACCCGUCAUAGUUUUCAUAUGUUUUUUCAUCUAUUAGGUAUUCUUCUUUAUUCAUUUAUAAAUUGUAUUGUAGUUUAUAUUCUA
rnacentral:lncRNA from 1 species